rnacentral:lncRNA from 1 species
GUUACCCAGGAAGUUUUUGCUGUUAAUGGAUGUAAAAUACUUAGAACUAUCUAGGAAACCAGGUUUGAAUCUUUAAAGUUGAAGCCUUUUGAUAAAAAAGUACUUUUUCUUGGUGAUUUUUGCUCAAAAACAAACUUGUGACUGAAUUUUCCGCUCCUCGAAACUCGCCCUAGUCUUUUUGAAAGUUCAUUUAUUGAGAAGCGCCAUCUUGGCUUCGGGCAAGUAUGAGCAUGUUUACCUGCAGUUAGCGUUCCAGUGUUAUUACAGUUCACUGAGUUCCUCUCAAUCCGCAGAUUUCUGCUGUUAUUAUCACUAUCUAUAUGCCUGGCACAGAUCCUUCAAGUUUAUGUCCAAUAUAUGCAACAUCAGUGAAGACAUGCAUCUUUAUUAUACCUAAGGGACCGGUCAUUAUUUAUGGCGGGGGGUGGCACCGAAGAGAAAAAGGUUGGGUAAACAAAAUUUUGAGUAAGUAAAAGGUUGGGUAAAUGAAAAACAAAACAACUCAAGGGUUGGGUAAUAAAAAUUUAU